GACGAACGCUGGCGGCGUGCUUAACACAUGCAAGUCGAACGGAAAGGCCCUGCUUUUGUGGGGUGCUCGAGUGGCGAACGGGUGAGUAACACGUGAGUAACCUGCCCUUGUCUUUGGGAUAACUUCAGGAAACUGGGGCUAAUACCGGAUAGGAGACCCCCCUGCAUGGUGGGCGUUGGAAAUUUUCGGCGGUUGGGGAUGGACUGGCGGCUUAUCAGCUUGUUGGUGGGGUAGUGGCUUACCAAGGCUUUGACGGGUAGCCGGCCUGGGUGGGUGACCGGCGACAUGGGGACUGAGAUACGGCCCAGUCUCGAACGGGAGGCAGUGGUGGGGAGUAUUGCACAGUGGGAGGAAGUCUGAUGCAGCAGCGCCGCGUGCGGAAUGACGGCCUUCGGGUUGUAAAACGCUGUCGCCUGUGACGAAGCGUGAGUGACGGUAAUGGGUAAAGAAGCACCGGCUAACUACGUG
rnacentral:rRNA from 1 species